AUUAGUUAGAAAAGAUGGAAACCAAAAACAUAUUUCGAUCCAUAGAAAUCGUGUAAAGAUAGCUCCGUCUGCAAAUUCCGGCAAUGCUGCCGUAGCAGCCGAGCUCCGGUGGCGAUGAAGAAGAAUUACUUAAUUGUCUGCAAAUCAAAGAUGAACCAUGGAGUUGAGGGUAUUGACAGAGAGUAGAGGAUUUAAAGCUCAAACCUUCAUGACUCAUUGAAUGGGCUGCUUGUCAAUCUUGUUGUGGGGUUCUAGCGUUCUUCAGAAGCCACUGCCACCGAGGCCAUGAACAACAACGCAACCAAACCGUUGGGCAUCUCCCGAAGAAGUAUAAGUCUAGGACUGGGUGAUUCAAUUCGAAGUGGACUCUCUUGUUCCAGCAAGGAAUGAGGUUAACUUGUGUUAAGUUGAUUGAGUUCUUCGGAUCACCAGAUUUUUUAACACU